UAUUCUGCCCUACGGGGAAGGAUGAGAAGGUUCGACUCGAGCGUAGCGAGAGAACGUUGCCGAAGGCAACGGCCCGAGGGGCGAGGCGCUUUAGCGCCGAGUUAUCCUUCCCCCACCACCA
rnacentral:sRNA from 2 species